rnacentral:pre_miRNA from 1 species
UGGACAAAUUAUUGUAUUCGACUGUAUUCACAGCAUGAAAUAGGGGAUUACACUAUUUUUAAACGGAAAGUGAAUCAAUUAACAUAAUAGACUCCU